rnacentral:rRNA from 1 species
UACGUAGGGUGCAAGCGUUGUCCGGAAUUAUUGGGCGUAAAGAGCUCGUAGGCGGCCUGUCGCGUCCGCUGUGAAAGCCCGGGGCUUAACCCCGGGUCUGCAGUGGAUACGGGCAGGCUAGAGGUAGGUAGGGGAGAAUGGAAUUCCCGGUGUAGCGGUGAAAUGCGCAGAUAUCGGGAGGAACACCGGUGGCGAAGGCGGCGAUCUGGGUAGAUACUGACGCUGAGGUGCGAAAGCGUGGGGAGCAAACAGG